UACGUAGGGGGCUAGCGUUGUCCGGAAUCAUUGGGCGUAAAGAGCGCGUAGGCGGCCAGAUAAGUCCGGUGUGAAAGUCAAAGGCUCAACCUUUGAAUGCCGCUGGAAACUGUCUGGCUAGAGUCCGGGAGGGGCGAGUGGAAUUCCUGGUGGUAGCGGUGAAAUGCGCAGAUAUCAGGAGGAACACCGAUUGCGAAGGCAGCUCGCUGGGACGUCGACUGACGCUGAGACGCGAAAGCGUGGGGAGCAAACAGG
rnacentral:rRNA from 1 species